rnacentral:lncRNA from 1 species
AGCAGGGAAGGUAAGCCGAGCUCACAGUCGGCAGGGGCAGCAGCAGCAGCAGUAGCAGCAGCAGAGGCAGUGGUGGCUGUGGCGGCGGCGGCGGCGGCGGCGGCGGCGGAGACUGAGAAAGCCAGGCAGGGAGAGGAAGAGGGAGAGGGAGGGAUAGAGCCAAAAAGAGGAGAGCCAGACGAGAGCCAGAGAGCCAACAGCCCGCACCUACAUACACUGGGGAGACAGACAGACGGCCAGGAGGGCAGACACACAGACAGCUAGACACCCGCACAGCCCCAGCGCUACAAAGCGGAGGCACCAGAAGGCAGGAGGAGGAGAGAGGAGGGGAGGGGAGGGGAGGGGGCCUGGUGGGAGGGGGGAGAGAGAAAGGGAGAGAGGGAGAGAGAGAGAAGAGAGGAGAGAGAGAGAGGGAAGGAGGGAGGGAGGGAAGGAAAGGAGGGAGGGAAGGAGGGGGGAAAUCCAGCUACCACCACCCAAAGCCAACCUCUGCUUUCUGUCCUCAUUUCCUUUAUCCACCCAGCCCCGCGCCCGGAGGGAGGCUCUAGUCUAGCUAGACAGACAGCCACAGGGACAGACAGACGGUCAGGGAGAGAGAGAGGGGCGCUCAGGGGAGGAGGAUUUGGAAGAGGAGGAGGACUGCCUGCCGAGAGAAGAUUUUUCUCCCAGCAGCCGCCGAGAGCCCGCGUCGCCGGAAGAGAGCAGUCCCCCGGAGGCCCGGCCCGGCUCGGCUCGGCUUGGCAGGAGCGAGCCCCGGACGGAGCCCAGCAGUUCGAUGGGAGUUUGCCUGACCACCAACCCAGUGGCCUGGAGACUAGCAACUGGAGUUCAUUACAAAACACCUAAGGGGCCCCGGGCCAGGGGCGACACACGGCCGUUGUUGGAGACCACCCUGGGGACAGCAUUGGUGACAGGGGCCUCCUGCUGAGCCAGGACUGCCCCAGAAGCCUGCUCAGGUGCUGUCCACUCCCCCUGGCCUGGGGCCCUCACCCGGAGCUCCCCCUCUGAGGUGGCAAGACACACAACUCACACGCAGAGAAUCCAUCACUCUCGAAUCUCUUUACUCCAGGGCAUAAUUGCUCUUUCAGGUCAGUUGGAUAUCUAGGGGGAGGGGGAAGAUGGAAAACAUGGAACAUUAAGGGAGGUGGGGACUGGAGGAGCCUCAGAUUAGGUGGGGGUGGGGGCGCUGGUAACUCAGGGUGUUUUUCUUUCUUUCUUUCUCUCUAACAGAAAAUUCCAUUGUCAGAUCCCCAGCAGCACAGAGGGUGAGUCUUUCUUUUUUCUCCAGGGACACUACCCAGACCUGAGCAAGGGAGGGGCAGAUAGUGGAUCCUUG